rnacentral:rRNA from 1 species
UACAGAGGUCUCAAGCGUUGUUCGGAUUCAUUGGGCGUAAAGGGUGCGUAGGCGGCGCGGUAAGUCGGGUGUGAAAUCUCGGGGCUUAACUCCGAAACUGCAUUCGAUACUGCCGUGCUUGAGGACUGGAGAGGAGACUGGAAUUUACGGUGUAGCGGUGAAAUGCGUAGAUAUCGCUUGGAACGCCAACGGUGAAAACAGGUUGCUGGGGGUGUGCUGACGCUGAGACACGAAAGCCAGGGGAGCGAACGGG